rnacentral:rRNA from 1 species
GGCUCAUUAAAUCAGUUAUCGUUUAUUUGAUAGUACCUUACUACUUGGAUAACCGUGGUAAUUCUAGAGCUAAUACAUGCUAAAAAUCCCGACUUCGGAAGGGAUGUAUUUAUUAGAUUAAAAACCAAUGCCCUUCGGGGCUCACUGGUGAUUCAUAAUAACUUUUCGAAUCGCAUGGCCUUGCGCCGGCGAUGGUUCAUUCAAAUUUCUGCCCUAUCAACUUUCGACGGCUGGGUCUUGGCCAGCCAUGGUGACAACGGGUAACGGAGGGUUAGGGCUCGACCCCGGAGAAGGAGCCUGAGAGACGGCUACUACAUCCAAGGAAGGCAGCAGGCGCGCAAAUUACCCAAUCCCGACACGGGGAGGUAGUGACAAUAAAUACUGAUACAGGGCUCUUUAGGGUCUUGUAAUUGGAAUGAGUACAAUUUAAAUCCCUUAACGAGGAACAAUUGGAGGGCAAGUCUGGUGCCAGCAGCCGCGGUAAUUCCAGCUCCAAUAGCGUAUAUUAAAGUUGUUGCAGUUAAAAAGCUCGUAGUUGAACCUUGGGCCUGGCUGGCCGGUCCGCCUCACCGCGUGCACUGGUCCGGCCGGGUCUUUCCCUCUGGGGAACCGCAUGCCCUUCACUGGGUGUGCUGGGGAACCAGGACUUUUACUUUGAAAA